UUUAAUAGUCGAACAGACUAGCUUACGUAGCUGCUACACUAAGCAGCACCUUUAAUUCAACAUCGAGGUCACAAGAUCUCUUAUCGAUUAGGCCUCUCCAAAAGCAUUGUGCUGUUAUCCCUGAGGUAACUCCUCUUUAACUUGUUUAAGAUCUUAAACGCACUAUCGGCAUUGGUUUAUAAGUUGGAUGUGUUAAUUUACCGCCCCAGUAUGAUGCAACAAGGUCAAGGCCCCAGAUUAGUUGAACCCAAGCCCCGUAUUAACCAGCUCUGCAGGGUCUUAUCUUCCCAUUGGUGGGGUUUGAAGUUUUGAUCGAACCCUUAAGUUGUAGUCUUACAGGCUUACAAGUCGUCUUUCAUGAGCCCCUUCAUUCAAGACCCCAAUUAAGAGCCAAAUUAUUAUGCUACCUUUGCACAGUUAAGG
rnacentral:rRNA from 1 species